GCGCGAGUGGCGGAAUUGGCAGACGCGCUGGAUUCAGGUUCCAGUGUCCUAACGGACGUGGGGGUUCAAGUCCCCCCUCGCGCACCA
rnacentral:tRNA from 2 species